AGGUAGAAACACUCCCUUCAAGACUUCUAAGCAAUCAAACACAAAUCACAAGAACAAAGGACUGGUGUUCAAUAAAUUAUCCUGUCACUGCCCUUACUUCAUCCCACAGAACAGAGAAGAAAUGAAUUGGUUUUUUUUGAACUGCUUCUGGUCCAUAGCUUUGUGUGUUCUAAGAACUCUCUCAUUGGCCAGGUUCUGCAGCUCCAGAAUUUGUUUUAGAGAAUUAUUUGAAGGUGUUCCAAAGGGUUUGAGGACAGCUCAGGUAA